rnacentral:rRNA from 1 species
CCAGACUCCUACGGGAGGCAGCAGUGGGGAAUAUUGCACAAUGGGCGAAAGCCUGAUGCAGCGACGCCGCGUGGGGGAUGAAGGCCUUCGGGUUGUAAACCCCUUUCAGCAGGGAAGAAGCGAAAGUGACGGUACCUGCAGAAGAAGCGCCGGCUAACUACGUGCCAGCAGCCGCGGUAAUACGUAGGGCGCAAGCGUUGUCCGGAAUUAUUGGGCGUAAAGAGCUCGUAGGCGGUUUGUCGCGUCUGCUGUGAAAACCCGAGGCUCAACCUCGGGCCUGCAGUGGGUACGGGCAGACUAGAGUGCGGUAGGGGAGACUGGAAUUCCUGGUGUAGCGGUGGAAUGCGCAGAUAUCAGGAGGAACACCGAUGGCGAAGGCAGGUCUCUGGGCCGCAACUGACGCUGAGGAGCGAAAGCAUGGGGAGCGAACAGGAUUAGAUACCCUGGUAGUCCAUGCCGUAAACGUUGGGCACUAGGUGUGGGGCUCAUUCCACGAGUUCCGUGCCGCAGCAAACGCAUUAAGUGCCCCGCCUGGGGAGUACGGCCGCAAGGCUAAAACUCAAAGGAAUUGACGGGGGCCCGCACAAGCGGCGGAGCAUGCGGAUUAAUUCGAUGCAACGCGAAGAACCUUACCAAGGCUUGACAUAUACCGAAAACUCAUGGAGACAUGGGGUCCGCAAGGGCGGUAUACAGGUGGUGCAUGGUUGUCGUCAGCUCGUGUCGUGAGAUGUUGGGUUAAGUCCCGCAACGAGCGCAACCCUCGUCCUAUGUUGCCAGCACAUCAUGGUGGGGACUCAUAGGAGACUGCCGGGGUCAACUCGGAGGAAGGUGGGGAUGACGUCAAAUCAUCAUGCCCCUUAUGUCUUGGGCUUCACGCAUGCUACAAUGGCCGGUACAAAGGGCUGCGAUACCGCGAGGUGGAGCGAAUCCCAAAAAGCCGGUCUCAGUUCGGAUUGGGGUCUGCAACUCGACCCCAUGAAGUCGGAGUCGCUAGUAAUCGCAGAUCAGCAACGCUGCGGUGAAUACGUUCCCGGGCCUUGUACACACCGCCCGUCAAGUCACGAAAGUCGGUAACACCCGAAGCCGGUGGCCCAACCCUUGUGGAGGGAGCCGUCGAAGGUGGGACCAGCGAUUGGGACUAAGUCGUAACAAGGUAGCCGUACCGGAAGGUGCGGCUGGAUCACCUCCUUUCUA